rnacentral:pre_miRNA from 1 species
GUGAUCUUCCACAGCUUUCUUGAACUGUGUUGUGAGGCUUCUCUCCAAUGAAGGUUUAUACCCUAUGCAAAAGAAAUUCUAUGAGCACAAUUCAAGAUAGCUGUGGAAAAUCAC